UACGUAGGGUGCAAGCGUUAUCCGGAAUCACUGGGCGUAAAGCGUGCGUAGGUGGCGCGUUAAGUGAGAUGUUAAAUCGUGUGGCUCAACCAUAUCGAUGCAUCUCAUACUGGCGUGCUAGAGGACGGCAGAGGCAAGUGGAAUUGGUAGUGUAGCAGUGAAAUGCGUAGAUAUUACCAGGAACACCAAUGGCGAAGGCAGCGUGCUGGGCCACUCCUGACACUGAGGUACGAAAGCGUGGGGAGCGAACAGG
rnacentral:rRNA from 1 species